rnacentral:rRNA from 1 species
GACGAACGCUGGCGGCGUGCUUAACACAUGCAAGUCGAACGGAAAGGCCCUGCUUUUGUGGGGUGCUCGAGUGGCGAACGGGUGAGUAACACGUGAGUAACCUGCCCUUGACUUUGGGAUAACUUCAGGAAACUGGGGCUAAUACCGGAUAGGAGCUCCUGCUGCAUGGUGGGGGUUGGAAAGUUUCGGCGGUUGGGGAUGGACUCGCGGCUUAUCAGCUUGUUGGUGGGGUAGUGGCUUACCAAGGCUUUGACGGGUAGCCGGCCUGAGAGGGUGACCGGCCCCAUGGGGCUGGGGUACGGGCCCGAAUCCUACGGGGGGGAGCAGUGGGGGAUAUUGCACAAUGGGCGGAAGCCUGAUGCAGCAACGCCGCGUGCGGGAUGACGGCCUUCGGGUUGUAAACCGCUUUCGCCUGUGACGAAGCGUGAGUGACGGUAAUGGGUAAAGAAGCACCGGCUAACUACGUG